AUAUUUAUCUGGCAGAGGAGACACCUUGAUCAUGAAGGAGGUUUUCCCAAGGUGAGGCUCAGCCAUUGCUUUCUAGCUGUUCUGGCCCCUGAGAUUUCUCUAACUGCGGGAAAAUCAACUACAUAAUUUGUGGUAGCUGGGCGCUGUGUGUGGGCUAA
rnacentral:snRNA from 1 species